rnacentral:rRNA from 1 species
ACGGGUGAGUAAUGCCUAGGAAUCUGCCUGGUAGUGGGGGAUAACGCUCGGAAACGGACGCUAAUACCGCAUACGUCCUACGGGAGAAAGCAGGGGACCUUCGGGCCUUGCGCUAUCAGAUGAGCCUAGGUCGGAUUAGCUAGUUGGUGAGGUAAUGGCUCACCAAGGCGACGAUCCGUAACUGGUCUGAGAGGAUGAUCAGUCACACUGGAACUGAGACACGGUCCAGACUCCUACGGGAGGCAGCAGUGGGGAAUAUUGGACAAUGGGCGAAAGCCUGAUCCAGCCAUGCCGCGUGUGUGAAGAAGGUCUUCGGAUUGUAAAGCACUUUAAGUUGGGAGGAAGGGCCAUUACCUAAUACGUGAUGGUUUUGACGUUACCGACAGAAUAAGCACCGGCUAACUCUGUGCCAGCAGCCGCGGUAAUACAGAGGGUGCAAGCGUUAAUCGGAAUUACUGGGCGUAAAGCGCGCGUAGGUGGUUCGUUAAGUUGGAUGUGAAAGCCCCGGGCUCAACCUGGGAACUGCAUUCAAAACUGUCGAGCUAGAGUAUGGUAGAGGGUGGUGGAAUUUCCUGUGUAGCGGUG